UGGGGAAUAUUGGACAAUGGGCGCAAGCCUGAUCCAGCCAUGCCGCGUGGGUGAAGAAGGCCCUAGGGUUGUAAAUCCCUUUCAGCGGGGAAGAUAAUGACGGUACCCGCAGAAGAAGCCCCGGCUAACUCCGUGCCAGCAGCCGCGGUAAUACGGAGGGGGCUAGCGUUGUUCGGAAUUACUGGGCGUAAAGCGCGCGUAGGCGGACCUGCAAGUCGGGGGUGAAAGCCCGAGGCUCAACCUCGGAACUGCCUUCGAUACUGCGGGUCUCGAGUCCGGGAGAGGUGAGUGGAAUUCCUAGUGUAGAGGUGAAAUUCGUAGAUAUUAGGAAGAACACCAGUGGCGAAGGCGGCUCACUGGCCCGGUACUGACGCUGAGGCGCGAAAGCGUGGGGAGCAAACAGGAUUAGAUACCCCCGUAGUCC
rnacentral:rRNA from 1 species